UGGGUACCUCCCCUGAAGUGAGGGAUACCGGCGAGAAAUCGCCGACAAUACCGCAUAGGCUCUCUUUCGCGAGAGGGAGAGCAAAGUCUUCCGCAAGGGAGACGCUUUGGGAUGGGCCUGUGGCCGAUUAGCUAGCUGGUGGGGUAACGGCUCACCAGGGCGACGAUCGGUAGCUGGUCUGAGAGGACGAUCAGCCACACUGGGAUUGAGAACGGCCCAG
rnacentral:rRNA from 1 species